CUCCGGACCUGAAGAGCAAUGGUGCUGAGGAGGGCAGAGGAGCGUAGGCCUGGCUGCGGCCGGAGUGUCAGUUCUCUAAGUCCUUUAAGCACGCAUUGGAUGGAGAGUACUGCUUCAUCAUAGCAUGCCAGGCUCCCUUGCAGCUGACUCAGGAGUUGGGAGGUGGUGUACGUGGAUCCUACAGCGAGAGCCUGGGGAUGGUGAAGACAUCGCCAAGCAGAAUUCCCAUGAACCUCGACUCUCAAGACACAGCUUGCCUUGCUGAGUCAUGAGGACUUCUUUUAACCACCUGGGGGACUUGGAGAACAAGGCACUGUGUGUGGCUUCAGGAAUGCACUGAUGAGCAGUUACUUCUUGUCCUUGAGAAACUUCUGAUCCAGAGGGAGAAACAUAAAAAAUUCCGGCAGUGGCAGAGGAUAGAGAAAUCCAGGACCUAUCUCAAUGGUAAAACUGACAAGGCUUGGUGGCUCCUCAAAUGUGAGCAAGAAGAUGAGGAUGUGUGCCACAGGUUUUGCACAACUCCUCAGAGCUUCUCUCCGCCUGUCUUCCAGCUCCAUGCGAAAGCCCUGUGGAAAGUUGCUUCUCCUAGUGUGGCUCGUGAUGGUUUUGCACAUUCAGAUUUGAGGAUUGUGGAUGCCCAAGAUUGCAUAAGGGAGGAGUCUGGAUCCCUGAGUCACAGUUUGGAGGACAGCCACUCACGGGACCCAGCUGAACAGACCCUCUGGCAUGGGAUUUUAUGGAAGGGAAAAGGUUCAGAACUGGCCAGGUGAUGUUUUUAUUGGGAGGAAAGCUUGGAGAAUCAACAGGAGAAACAGAAAAGAACUUGCAGAACAACCCCUGGGCUACUGAGUUGAGAAAUUGGAGGCUUACUUUCCCACGCUGUCAAAUGGACUUCGGGAUUGACACAGCCUUGUUCAUGGAAAAAAAGACAAAGGAGAUUGGAGCCAUGGAUGGAGAAGAAGUUGAGUUGGAUCAGGCUGCAAGAUCGAAGGGGACAAGAAAGCUGAUGCUAAUGCCUACAGAUCCUUCAGAUCUGAGUCUAGGAGGAGCAUGGACUCGAUGCUUUUGUUCUUUUUCCAAUGACUUACACCUCGAGGGCCCAUAUCAAAGCCCCUUACCCAUGUCAUGGAGUCUCUUGGAGGAAGGAUUAUUGUGUUGGUCAGAGGAGAUAAAAAGAAAAGAUUUUUUUCAUGAAGAAAAGAAGAGCAGGAAUAUACUGGUGCACUUCCAAAACAGCAAAAAAUAAAGGGUCCUGCUUACUUACUUUUUUAACCUGGUGCAAACUCUUAUUUAUCCCCAAAACAAAUCUGCUUUGCUUCCUUUACUUCCCCCUGGAGGCUGACGCCCAAGGCCAUGGAAUGAAAGGACUUCCAGUGGAAAGCCAUAG
rnacentral:lncRNA from 1 species